AAGUCGAGGGGCAGCAUGGUCUUAGCUUGCUAAGGCUGAUGGCGACCGGCGCACGGGUGAGUAACACGUAUCCAACCUGCCGUCUACUCUUGGCCAGCCUUCUGAAAGGAAGAUUAAUCCAGGAUGGGAUCAUGAGUUCACAUGUCCGCAUGAUUAAAGGUAUUUUCCGGUAGACGAUGGGGAUGCGUUCCAUUAGAUAGUAGGCGGGGUAACGGCCCACCUAGUCAACGAUGGAUAGGGGUUCUGAGAGGAAGGUCCCCCACAUUGGAACUGAGACACGGUCCAAACUCCUACGGGAGGCAGCAGUGAGGAAUAUUGGUCAAUGGGCGAUGGCCUGAACCAGCCAAGUAGCGUGAAGGAUGACUGCCCUAUGGGUUGUAAACUUCUUUUAUAAAGGAAUAAAGUCGGGUAUGCAUACCCGUUUGCAUGUACUUUAUGAAUAAGGAUCGGCUAACUCCGUGCCAGCAGCCGCGGUAAUACGGAGGAUCCGAGCGUUAUCCGGAUUUAUUGGGUUUAAAGGGAGCGUAGAUGGAUGUUUAAGUCAGUUGUGAAAGUUUGCGGCUCAACCGUAAAAUUGCAGUUGAUACUGGAUGUCUUGAGUGCAGUUGAGGCAGGCGGAAUUCGUGGUGUAGCGGUGAAUGCUUAGAUAUCACGAAGACUCCGAUUGCGAAGGCAGCCUGCUAAGCUGCAAC
rnacentral:rRNA from 1 species